AUACAUGCAAGUCGAGCGAACUGAUUAGAAGCUUGCUUCUAUGACGUUAGCGGCGGACGGGUGAGUAACACGUGGGCAACCUGCCUGUAAGACUGGGAUAACUUCGGGAAACCGAAGCUAAUACCGGAUAGGAUCUUCUCCUUCAUGGGAGAUGAUUGAAAGAUGGUUUCGGCUAUCACUUACAGAUGGGCCCGCGGUGCAUUAGCUAGUUGGUGAGGUAACGGCUCACCAAGGCAACGAUGCAUAGCCGACCUGAGAGGGUGAUCGGCCACACUGGGACUGAGACACGGCCCAGACUCCUACGGGAGGCAGCAGUAGGGAAUCUUCCGCAAUGGACGAAAGUCUGACGGAGCAACGCCGCGUGAGUGAUGAAGGCUUUCGGGUCGUAAAACUCUGUUGUUAGGGAAGAACAAGUACAAGAGUAACUGCUUGUACCUUGACGGUACCUAACCAGAAAGCCACGGCUAACUACGUGCCAGCAGCCGCGGUAAUACGUAGGUGGCAAGCGUUAUCCGGAAUUAUUGGGCGUAAAGCGCGCGCAGGCGGUUUCUUAAGUCUGAUGUGAAAGCCCACGGCUCAACCGUGGAGGGUCAUUGGAAACUGGGGAACUUGAGUGCAGAAGAGAAAAGCGGAAUUCCACGUGUAGCGGUGAAAUGCGUAGAGAUGUGGAGGAACACCAGUGGCGAAGGCGGCUUUUUGGUCUGUAACUGACGCUGAGGCGCGAAAGCGUGGGGAGCAAACAGGAUUAGAU
rnacentral:rRNA from 2 species